rnacentral:rRNA from 1 species
GUGUCAGCAGCCGCGGUAAUACGUAGGGGGCUAGCGUUGUCCGGAUUUAUUGGGCGUAAAGAGCGUGUAGGCGGCCAGAUAGGUCCGCUGUGAAAACUCGAGGCUCAACCUCGAGCUGUCGGUGGAAACCAUCUGGCUAGAGUCCGGAAGAGGAGAGCGGAAUUCCCGGUGUAGCGGUGAAAUGCGCAGAUAUCGGGAAGAACACCCGUGGCGAAGGCGGCUCUCUGGGACGGUACUGACGCUGAGACGCGAAAGCGUGGGGAGCGAACAGGAUUAGAUACCCUGGUAGUCCACGCCGUAAACGAUGGGUGCUAGGUGUGGGGAGUGUCGACUCUCUCCGUGCCGAAGCUAACGCAUUAAGCACCCCGCCUGGGGAGUACGGCCGCAAGGCUAAA